rnacentral:lncRNA from 1 species
UUCGUCGUGUGUCAGACUGCAGCCGAGGACUUGUUCCCGUCGAUCAGUCAUAUUUCUGGACCCAUUUUCCUCCCGCUCCCGAUCGGUCAACAGGAGAUCGUACACCGUCUGUAAGCUGGUGAAUUCGGCCGCCAGGGUACCUUUCCUCCGGUACUGGCGGAUUACUGUAACUAACUUUGCCGGCAAGUGCUAUCUGGUCAAUCAUGUGGUAGUCUCACUCGAUAUGAUCGAUGCCAAAGCUCAAUCUACCGGGUGAGAUCCAAGUCCUCUGACCCGUGAUGCUGCGACCCUUUUGUCGCCGAUUUUUCUCCCGGAGGUACCCCCAGUUCCCUGCUUGCAAGGAUUACCACACGACUUUUCGCUAAAGUUUUCUAGGCAAGUUCAGAACAAGGCAUCGUUCUUCACGGAAGAGGUAAAGUCCAACAGCCAGCAAUCCCUCUGAAAAGUGUUCCCGGAGCAACUGUUGAAUCAAUCUGAUCCUUUUUUUGUUUUACCACCAAAUUUGUGUUCUUCUUCCCUUGCGAUUUUUUGACAGAAUUUUGGGAAUGAAGGACGUAUGUGCAUGUGGAUUCUGCUCAUCCGACAUUGAGAACAUUAACGGGGGACAUGGAAUAUGUUUAUUUCUUUAUUAAUUCAAGUUUCUCCCUCGAGAAACACACACACACAUGUUAGCCGUUUUACUUUCCGCCUUUCAUUUCACGACAGAGUUUUGUUGUACAUGUAACAUUGAGAUUGCAUAGUCGAUGGAAUGCAUGGUUUGCUAUUCCAAUAGUCAACAUGAGAUCUAGACACUUUUAUUUUAGUGGAAUAUGAUUGCGCGAUAUAUAAAUAGCUUAUGCGUAUUUGCAUCCAGUGUGGUGUUGGAUUUGUAGGGUCCAGAUCCAUCUUCGAUUAGAACUCUCAAUAAUAACAAUAAAACAAUAAUAAAUAGAAACUUCCUUUUAAUAUGCUCUUGUGUGUGCAACAAAGAGUCCAUUCUUGUUAAAAUUGCAAAUGAAAGAACACUUCCUUGUGAGACAAGCUUGUGGCAGCUUGAAAUUCAAACUUGACCUCAGGUUACUUCUCAUCCUCCCACAAGCUGUCUCCAACAGCUGUCUACAGUAAACUUGAUACACGUCAAGAAAAAAUACUGAGCAUGAUCUUACUGCUCCUGCCCACGCCACCAAUUUGAGACACACCCAC